UACGUAGGGGGCUAGCGUUGUCCGGAAUCAUUGGGCGUAAAGCGCGUGUAGGCGGUUCGGUAAGUCCGCUGUGAAAGUCGGGGGCUCAACCCUCGAAUGCCGGUGGAUACUGUCGAACUAGAGUGCGGAAGAGGCGAGUGGAAUUCCUGGUGUAGCGGUGAAAUGCGCAGAUAUCGGGAAGAACACCUAUGGCGAAGGCAGCUCUCUGGGACGGUACUGACGCUGAGACGCGAAAGCGUGGGGAGCGAACAGG
rnacentral:rRNA from 1 species